GUUCCCAGGAGGCUAAACUGUUGGGCCGAUAGGAAGACACUUACGAUGUAUGCCUUUAAGUGAUAGGUCCAUUUCAUCAGUUCAAAUACCUGUCUCUUUGAUGGCGAAUCAGGUGAAGAAUAAGGUGCUCUUGUCAUCAUCGGUGUGAGACCAGUUCCAUGCUCAAGAACUUUUUCAGAUACCACAGGAGUUCCACCUGGACUACGACAAAUAUUCACUUUACGUAGAUUUCUUUUC